rnacentral:lncRNA from 1 species
CUCACAAUCCACCAGUGAUACCUAGCAGUAUGUAGUGGCAACCUAGUAGAAUUAAAAAUGAAUCUCAAGGUGUAGUUAGCAUGUGAUUCAGUCCCUCUAUUGUGAGUCUCAAUUGGAUGGCAGGUCAUGGAUAAAUCAUCAAACCUCAAUAUCAGUCAUAUGAUAGAUUCGAUCAGCUUAAAUUUAAUAAUAAUUUUUAUGAAAACUCCUUUCUAUCAAUCAUACUACUGUGGCCAC